GGCUGUGGCCCAUCGCCCCAGUGCCUGGUAGCCUAGUUUUCUCGUUUGUCGUUUGUUCACUUAUUUAUUAUUAUUAUUAUUAUUUUGACUCGUAAUGGGUAUGAGGUGUAAGGGGGCCUAUUACGGAUGUUAAGGGGAGAGGGCACCGCUCGGGUUUUAAUAAGCAUCUGUGGAGCUCAUUUAUAAGAUUGGCAUCCUCUGCUUCUGCAGAAAACAUGGCUACCAACAGCUUCUGUAUCCACCUGCGGAGGAGACUGACUGCUCUGUUAUUCCCCCAGCAUCUGUGAAGAGGCUCUGACUGGCUAAAGUGAAGGAGUCUGUAGCUUUAGGGGAAGACAGAGCCACAAGAUGGAAGGAGCUUGGAUGUCUGAACUAUUCCAUGGAGAAAAGCUGCAGCCAACGAAGAACACCUGCAAUGGACUCUUAACCUGGGGGUGACGACAACCACUGAAAUAUGCUGCAUCUUAGUCCAGGGAUUUUUAAAGUGUGGUUCCUGGAAGAGCUGGAUCAGAGUCAUCUGUGUUGAUGGUUUAACAUAAAGAUUUUCGAGCCCCAAGACUCAAGUAGGACAAGGAAUUUGAAUUUUUAAGCAGCUCACCUGACUUGUCUGUCCUCUAAUGUCUGAAGACAUCUGACCUCUGCUCUUUCAGUAAAAGCAACAAUGGUUUUAUGAGCAUUGUCGUCACAUCUCUCCACUCAAGGGAUCCUUCUCAUUUCUCCCAGCUGAGGUCACCCACAGCUGCUGCUUCUAACUGCUGGCUUCCAGCCUGCUGUCUGCCAGCUGGCUCUACCCUCUCCUAUAACACGGCAGAGAGUAGCUGUGGUCUCCUGCGUGCUCACCCUCUGCUCCCUUGGUCCUGCUCCAUGCUUUGGUCCUGCACUUAAAUUUUACAAGCAUACUCUCUUUCUCUUAAGAUGAAGGAGCUGAGGCUGGAGAAGUUAAGAGACCCCUGCUAGAUAGGAAGGCACGUGAGAAGUAUACUGCUCUGUCUCCUGUGGAGUAAAAAGACUUUGGCGUUCUCAGAAGAAAACCAAAUGAGAUCACACGAAUGAGACUGCUGGUUUAGAUGUCAUUCAACUCAACUCCAUGGGGUUGCGGCUGGAAGUGGAGUCAGAUUGGCAACAAAGCAUUUACUGAAUGCCUACUCAGGGCUGAAAUCUUUCAGAGACAAGGUUCAAGAGAGCAAGCAAAACAUUGCACGACAAUGAACAGAUCAAG
rnacentral:lncRNA from 10 species